CCCGAACCAAUGUCAGCCUCUAGUGGACACUAAGCUUCCUCCCAUGGACCCAAAUGCAGACAGGCAGGCAGAGGCAGUGUGGGAAUGGGGACCAAAACAUGAAUGAGCUGACAAGAGCUGCAGGAAACGAUCAACCAAAGGAACGUCUUCCAGAUGCGGAACACAAAAUGCAUUAUAAACAGUUGUCUUCGAUCCAUAAGUCAAAAACAGAGAAUCACAUUCUAACUCGUUCUUCUGCUGGUUAGAAAAUGUUAGCGCCACCAGCAGUGAGAUGCAUGCAGAACGGACCCUCAGAUGUGCUUCAUCACUGUGAGCAACCAGAAUUAUAGCAGCUCUUCCGUAAAUAGAAGAUUAAAGUAUAAUUUAAUAAAUAUCCAAAAAAUCGAUCAUAAAACAAACAUUACCCAUUAGAACCAUCUUCACUUUCUCCUUUACCUCCAGUGUCCUUAUUUCAGCUCAAGUUCCUGUCGAACAUGGACCAUGUGGACCCCCUGCAACUCUGACAAUACACGACCUCAGAUCAGUAAUGUGAUCUCCAUCUGGAGGUGGAGCUGCAGAUGUUGCUGCUGGCCUCUACUGUUUCUGACCUCGUUUAUGUUUCUAUAUCUGACAGAGUUUGUUUGUUUCUUCUCCAAGGGGCCCUUUGGAGCCUUGGCCCUGUUGCAUAACAGCGCACCUCCUCUUCUUCCUGCUCAAAGUGGGAUAACGUUCCUACAUGUUCAGCUGUCCUCCUUUGUCUAAAACUGGAAUCCUCACCCCAGCUCAUCCUGCAGACAAAGAUGGAAGGACUGAAGAACGUAGGACACUCCGCUCCCGUGGUCUCCUCCAGUCAGAUUAUUUAAAUGCGCAAACUCACCGACUUCACUCGUCUCACAAACUGUAACCACCUCAGCUUCAACAAUUACACUAAAACAACUCGUCAAGCAUGAAUCUGAAUGGAGUAUUCGCUCGAUCAGUUAAUAAUUAGUUAAUUAUUGAGUGUGAACUGGUGCACAGCGGGAAACAGGUGUCACCUUGUUACAUUCAGGUGUUUGUGUUAAAUGCUGUAAAAAAACAGCGACUCUCCGGCAGAGAUAUGGCUUUCUGCCCAGGGCAGCAGAGCCUGGGAGGGGUGCAAUGAUGCAGAAAUAAAUAAAUAAAUAAGUUUCUGUCGGUUCCGCUGGGUUUUCUGUUGCUUCUCUGCAUGUCCAGUUAACGUGCAUGUCCGCCCCCUGUGGUCGGUGGGGUUGCUGCAGAUGCUGAAGUUGAUGUCUGAUUUGAGGGGCCAUUUCGUUGAUUCACAAGCUGUCGCUGCUUUCUCAACAUAAGGAACAACUAAGAUUGAGAAAAGUCAGAAGUUGAAUUUAUAUUAAUUUAUAUUUAAAUCCAGGACCUUGUUGCUGGAAGGCAAAAGUGCUAAAGAUUGCUCCACUGUGCAGUCAUCCAUCUUUAUCAGCUCCAAUCAGAUCGCCUGUUUCUACCAACUGUUUUUGAUCAGUUACACAUUUAAAAGGGUUGCCUGGUGGAGUGGGGAAGGGAGGUUGUCAGCUGUCGGGCUGUAGCUCAGAAUAACCUGACAGGUGAAGUCGGUUCAGAAUCAGAUGUUUCUGCAGCGAGGAGCCGAGCUGAGGGAUGGAUUUCACUCCCACUCAGCAGCUCCUUUCUCAGAA